UAAAAUUUAAAAUUCACGCCUUUUUAUUUUUCUGUUGAUAUUCAAACAUUCAAGCUUCUAUUUGAGAGAGUGUGAGAAGACAUCAGUAUCAAAAAAUCCUCAAGAAAAUGGCUAAAGUUGUUAGAUCUCUGUGGUUGAUGCUUGUUGCAAUCUUCAUGAUUUCAAUUGUUCUGCAAACCCCAAACAUGGUUGAAGGUAGGGAGGCGAUGCAAGUGAGGAAAUUACAAGAAUGCCCCUCUCGUUGCACGAGCGAUGCGCAGUGCGUUAGCUUGAAGUGUGGAGUGAGAUGUUUGAGAAUUUCAGCUCUUAAGAGCAUUUGCUCUGAGAUUUAGGUUCAACUUUUGUUAAUCUGUGGCAAAAUGAAUGAAUCUCUAUUUUUUAUUCUGCAAUUAAAAAAAAAUAUUACUGCUAUUGUUUUUUUCUGAUUGUAAAGAUCUCAUUGUUAUGGAAUUUGAAUGAAGCUAUUUGGUAAUGAGAAAUGAUUGAAAUGAAUUCUCUAUUUUA